AGGCGCUGGAGAGGAAGAAUAGGAGAAAAAGAGUUUCGUCCAAUAAUGCAACCCAAUAUGUAUGCAGAUGUCAUUUGGCCUUCUUCACAUCACCCUGUGGGAAUUGGAGCUCAGCAAACUGACACAAAAAUGCUGAUAUAUUGCUGCUACGGCUACUAAGGCCAUCCUAUUGCUGGGUGAACUGGGGAGACCCUGGUUCCUGAGCCACCGACCCAGCGAGACCUGAAGGAGUUGCCGAAGGUUCUUGGUCUUGUCACGAGGAGGAAUUCAAGGACAGACAUGAAGCACAGUGGAUGAGUAACAGA